rnacentral:lncRNA from 1 species
AUAUCUAUGGUCUGAGUUAUUAAGGUUUUGACGUCCAAAGGUCAAUCUGGAUUUCCUGUGAAAUACUUCACUGUUUUCAGUAAAACGUCUAUAUCAUAUGAUCUUGGAAAAUUUUCAUAUUUUAACCUAGAAAACUACUUGAAAUUAUCUUUCUAAUUCCACAAAUUUCAUAUGAAACGGAGUUGGGAUGAAUUUUAUAAAAUCUGCCGAAGUUUGCUGCCUCAACUAAACUUGAC